rnacentral:lncRNA from 1 species
CUUCUUCCAGCAAAAAGGCAAAGAUAGAAGUGUAGCCCAUAGUUUGUAUGAAACUAAGCAAAAAAAAUAAAGUUAUCACGUAAAGAUUCAAUUAACUUAUGCUUCUAUUCGGGGGUAAGUGACGAACAACUAUAGACCUCCCAACUAUCCCAUGGAUGAAUAAGAUUACUUAUUCAUGUGUUUAAUGGUUGAAAUGCCAGUGCUUGUUUUUUCUGACUCAACGAUUCGAUUUCCGAAAACUAAUUUGACUUGCACUGUCACAGGUUUAUAUUCCUCCCCUUUAGGAAAUAUACUGGCGGCUGUGAUUGAAUUAACUUCCAGGUUGUUCUUUGCUCUCCUUAGAUCUCUCUAUCCCCAUGAUAAAGUGAAUUUUAUAACAUGGUGCAAGAUUGAAGGUACCGCAUCCAUGUCAUGUAUCCAUGGUCUUCCCAAUAUGGCGUUGUAGGCCAUGUCCCCUACCACGACUUGUAAUGGAGUAUCUCUAGUUACCCCUUCUGUGAAGGUCCUCAAGGUGUUCUCUCCUUUAGUUAUUUUACUAGAGUUAUUGUAUCCGGAGAGUAGUAGUGUUUUUGGGAUAAUCCAAUCCUUAGUCUUCAUCUCCUUGAUUACUCGUAUUUUAAUGAUAUUGGACGAUCUACAUGGGUCAACUAAAGCAUGUCUAAUAUCACUAUCAACAAUUCAUAUAGUAAUUACCAUUCUGUCAUUGUAUGGCGCGAGCUGUCUAUCUACGUCCUCAUCAUUGAAUGUAAUUUCUUAUCUGGCGAGGAUCUGUCAGGUCGCUUCUCAUAGGUGAUGGAUACCUUUGAGAGCUUGUGUGACAAAGGUUUUGUAGUAAUGGUCACUCUGGAACUCGCACCAGAAUUUGUGUAUAUGCUUAUAUGGGUCCAUUCUCAUCUCCUUUUGCCAUCUUACUAUUUCCCCCAUUUGCCUGAGCAUCACCACCAGAUCAGUGGUGCUGACAUUGAAUUUGUAGUCGGCCAACUUUGGUCGGAGAUGAUAAUCACCGAUUUUUGAUGUUUCUAUUUCUUUUUCUAAUUGAUGAGGCACUUUAUCAUUCUUCCGUCCGAGAUUUCUAUCGUCACGACUCGAUUUGGGCCUUUUGUCAUUCUUCCGGUGCAUGGGACUAGAAUAAGGUUCAUACCGAGAUCUAGAAUCUCAAUACCUGGGCUCAUCCUAUCUCAAAAAAUGAUUUGUUCCGAUGGCUAUAUCCCACUGGCUCUUUGGCUUCAAAUCCUGAUAGUACCGAGAUGUUAUCCUCUUUUCAGAGCUUAGUGUUGUACUUGUGAUAUACAUUAUUUCAUGUUUUGGCAGGGAAUUCUUGUAAGUUUUCUUUUAGUUACUUUGAAGCUUUGGAGUUGCUCAGGUUAUGAUGUCGUGUAAAAGCCACAACGGCGCAAUUGUCUGGUACUUCAGGAAGCAUCAUUGUCUCCCUCAAAAAUCAAGGUAUGAAAUCUCGGAGCGAUUAUGUUUUUCCCUGCAUGACUAUGAAUAAUCCUCCACUUGGUUUUUCACCUUUUAGGCUCCAGAGUACGCCUUGAUGGAAGCAUCUGCAAGUUCAGCAAAAGUACUAAUAGAAUUUUCAGAUAAAUGGGAGUACUAUAUUAGUGUUCCCGUUGUCAGGGUCUCUUCAAACUUCUUGACGAGCACUCAUCUGAUUUCGUCCUUCGUGAGGUUAUUUCCCUAAUAUGGCAGUGAUUUGACCCGUGAUUGGCGAGAGAUUCGCACAAUCUCUUAUUAAUGCUCUUGGCACGUUCACAGGCUCUGCCUGUAGAAUUUUUCUAGGCAAUGCUUGCUGCUCUUAGUGAUUGGUGUAAGCUCAAUUCUCUAGAGAUUCUUGGCUUUGCCCUUUGCCUAUAAAUAUACACAAUUGGCAUCAUUGCUUUUAUUUUUCCUCAGUCUCUUCUUUGAGUUUUCUUUCUCUAUAUUUUCAUUUCCUAUGUGUUAGUCUAUCUUUAUUUUUAAAAACAUCAUAGAUAAACAACAGAUCAAUCAUGUUACUAUUGUUGUAGAGGCUUUGUCCUCUUUGGCACUGAGGUCCUGUUUUGAAGCACCAGAGUCCGCCCAAGG